rnacentral:rRNA from 1 species
GACGAACGCUGGCGGCGUGCCUAAUACAUGCAAGUAGGACGCAGUUGCGAACGGGUGAGUAACGCGUAGGUAACUACCUAUUAGAGGGGGAUAACUAUUGGAAACGAUAGCUAAUACCGCAUACUAGUAGAUGGACCUGCGUUGUAUUAGCUAGUAGGUAGGGUAAUGGCCUACCUAGGCAACGAUACAUAGGCGACCCGAGAGGGUUAGUCGCCAAAAUGGGAAUUAAGAAACGGCCAGGCUCCUACGGGAAGCAGCAGGAGGGAAACUUCGGCAAAUGGGGGAACCCUUGACGGGGAAAGGCGGGGUGGUUAAUGAAGGUUUCGGAUCGGAAAGCUUUGUUGUUAAGGGAGCGGUACUUAACCAGAAAGGGACGGCUAACUACGUGCCAGCAGCCGCGGUAAUAC